ACGGAGGGUGCAAGCGUUGUCCGGAUUUAUUGGGUUUAAAGGGUGCGUAGGCGGCUUUUUAAGUCAGCGGUGAAAGACUGUCGCUCAACGACGGAACUGCCGUUGAUACUGAUUAGCUUGAGUAUGAUUGAGGUAGCCGGAAUGGAUAGUGUAGCGGUGAAAUGCAUAGAUAUUAUCCAGAACGCCAAUAGCGUAGGCAGGUUACUAAGUCAUUACUGACGCUGAGGCACGAGAGUGCGGGGAUCAAACAGGAUUAGAUACCCUGGUAGUCCGCACUGUAAACGAUGAUGACUAGCUGUCGGGCUUUCGAGUUCGGUGGCACAGGGAAACCGUUAAGUCAUCCACCUGGGGAGUACGCCGGCAACGGUG
rnacentral:rRNA from 1 species